GAAGCUGACCAGACAGUCGCCGCUUCGUCGUCGGCCUUUCGGGGAGACGGGCGGAGGGGAGGAAAGUCCGGGCUCACCAGUGCAACAGAGAGCAAACCGCCGAUGGCCCACGCAAGUGGGAUCAGGUAAGGGUGAAAGGGUGCGGUAAGAGCGCACCGCGCGGCUGGUAACAGUCCGUGGCACGGUAAACUCCACCCGGAGCAAGGCCAAAUAGGGGUUCAUAAGGUACGGCCCGUACUGAACCCGGGUAGGCUGCUUGAGCCAGUGAGCGAUUGCUGGCCUAGAUGAAUGACUGUCCACGACAGAACCCGGCUUAUCGGUCAGUUUCACCU
rnacentral:RNase_P_RNA from 1 species